rnacentral:rRNA from 1 species
AUUGAACGCUGGCGGCAGGCCUAACACAUGCAAGUCGAGCGGUAGAGCGAAGCUUGCUUCUCUUGAGAGCGGCGGACGGGUGAGUAAUGCCUAGGAAUCUGCCUGGUAGUGGGGGAUAACGUUCGGAAACGGACGCUAAUACCGCAUACGUCCUACGGGAGAAAGCAGGGGACCUUCGGGCCUUGCGCUAUCAGAUGAGCCUAGGUCGGAUUAGCUAGUUGGUGGGGUAAUGGCUCACCAAGGCGACGAUCCGUAACUGGUCUGAGAGGAUGAUCAGUCACACUGGAACUGAGACACGGUCCAGACUCCUACGGGAGGCAGCAGUGGGAAAUAUUGGACAAUGGGCGAAAGCCUGAUCCAGCCAUGCCGCGUGUGUGAAGAAGGUCUUCGGAUUGUAAAGCACUUUAAGUUGGGAGGAAGGGCAGUAAAUUAAUACUUUGCUGUUUUGACGUUACCGACAGAAUAAGCACCGGCUAACUCUGUG